rnacentral:tRNA from 1 species
UGGGGUGUGGCUCAGUGGUAGAGCCCUUGCCUAGCAUGUGUGAGGCCCUGGGUUUGAUCCUCAGCACUGCAU